AGGACUCAGGGGUGUGGCCUCCCAUUGUUCAGGGUGGGUUCAUAAGACAGUGCCUCUGAGAGCUCUGGACCAGNCCACCACAAGGCAUCAGGAUGGCGAAAGCAACUAAGAAGACCCACUAUCUGACACAGGAUGUUGUGCCAUCAACCUCGACAUCCAAACCCAAGACAGUGAAGAUUUGCCAUCGUCAGCCCUGUCCCAAAUGUAGCAAGAAGAUAAGUAACCUCAAGGUGCAAACGCCUAAGAAGAAGAGCAAGAAAACACUGCCAAGCAUGCCUAAAAGAAAGACNUCUAAGAAAACUACACCACCAAAAAAAGGGACCAAUAAAGGCAAGGGGAAAGAAUUAUUCGGUCACUAACAUCAUUUAUUGAAAGAGCUGUCAACAGGUACUGAAAAGGAGCCCGAACAUAGCAGCACUGAGAGCUCCAGGAUUUCAACAAGUGAUUAAGAAUGACAGUAGACUCAGCAUGCCAACCAAAGACCUGGAAAUCUGUGAAAAGGAUUGUCAGCUAAGCAAUACCAAACUGUGUAGUCUGAAAAUAUAAGUACUACACAGUGCUUUGUCUCUGGUGAAAAUAAAAUCAAUCUGAUAUGAAAA